AUUGAACGCUGGCGGCAGGCCUAACACAUGCAAGUCGAGCGGAUGAAGGGAGCUUGCUCCUGGAUUCAGCGGCGGACGGGUGAGUAAUGCCUAGGAAUCUGCCUGGUAGUGGGGGAUAACGUCCGGAAACGGGCGCUAAUACCGCAUACGUCCUGAGGGAGAAAGUGGGGGAUCUUCGGACCUCACGCUAUCAGAUGAGCCUAGGUCGGAUUAGCUAGUUGGUGGGGUAAAGGCCUACCAAGGCGACGAUCCGUAACUGGUCUGAGAGGAUGAUCAGUCAACAGUGAAAAGGAGACACGUCCAAGACACUACGGGGGGCAGCCAGGGGGGAAUUUUGAAAAAGGGGGAAAACCUGAAUCAACCCUUGCGGGGGGUGGAAAAAGGGUCUUGGAUUUGAAAAGCUCUUAAAGUGGGGGGAAAGGUCAAAAAGUAAAUACCUUGUUUUUUGCAGCUACCAAACAAGAUAGACACGGCCAAGCUUGGUC
rnacentral:rRNA from 1 species